UACGGAGGGUGCAAGCGUUAUCCGGAUUCACUGGGUUUAAAGGGUGCGUAGGUGGAUAAUUAAGUCAGUGGUGAAAUCUUCAGGCUUAACCUGGAAACUGCCAUUGAUACUAUUUAUCUUGAAUACUUUGGAGGUAAGCGGAAUAUGUCAUGUAGCGGUGAAAUGCUUAGAUAUGACAUAGAACACCAAUUGCGAAGGCAGCUUACUACACAGUAAUUGACACUGAGGCACGAAAGCGUGGGGAUCAAACAGG
rnacentral:rRNA from 1 species